GACGAACGCUGGCGGCGUGCCUAAUACAUGCAAGUUGAGCGCUGAAGGUUGGUACUUGUACCAACUGGAUCAGCAGCGAACGGGUGAGUAACGCGUGGGGAAUCUGCCUUUGAGCGGGGGACAACAUUUGGAAACGAAUGCUAAUACCGCAUAAAAACUUUAAACACAAGUUUUAAGUUUGAAAGAUGCAAUUGCAUCACUCAAAGAUGAUCCCGCGUUGUAUUAGCUAGUUGGUGAGGUAAAGGCUCACCAAGGCGAUGAUACAUAGCCGACCUGAGAGGGUGAUCGGCCACAUUGGGACUGAGACACGGCCCAAACUCCUACGGGAGGCUGCAGUAGGGAAUCUUCGGCAAUGGACGAAAGUCUGACCGAGCAACGCCGCGUGAGUGAAGAAGGUUUUCGGAUCGUAAAACUCUGUUGGUAGAGAAGAACGUUGGUGAGAGUGGAAAGCUCAUCAAGUGACGGUAACUACCCAGAAAGGGACGGCUAACUACGUG
rnacentral:rRNA from 1 species